AGAAAUUUCCUUUCCAGUUCACACGAAAAAGCCAGUAUGUCCUCUGGGCACAUAUACAACACUUGCUUGCAACAGUGAAAGUGAUCCAGUCUGUGCAACCAAUGGUCAAACUUACACAAAUCUGUGUAUUUUCUGCAGAGAGAAGAGGUUUUUUCCGAACAGAGUUAAAUUUGAUCAUUUUGGUACAUGCUGAAUUUUGAUGGAAAUGCACAUCAAUAUGGCAUUUAUUUUGAUCGCAUUUUGUGGUGGAUAUAGCAAUUAGAUUCUUCUCAGGACCUUAUUCCUAGAAGACCAGGUGACUCUUUCUGUGGAACACAAGUUGGCAUAUAAAAUGUUCAAGGUUCUUUCCAACUCUAAGAUCCUGUGAUUUCAGGAUUUUGAUUCUCUAUGUUCAGUUACUCAAUUCAAUUCAAUUUCUUAAUAAUAUGUUUGAAA